UACAGAGGGUGCGAGCGUUGUCCGGAAUCACUGGGCGUAAAGGGCGCGUAGGCGGUCGCUUAAGCGUGUGGUGAAAGCCCGGGGCUCAACUCCGGGUCGGCCAUGCGAACUGGGGGACUGGAGCUUGUCAGAGGCAGGCGGAAUUCCGGGUGUAGCGGUGGAAUGCGUAGAGAUCCGGAAGAACACCGGUGGCGAAGGCGGCCUGCUGGGACAGUGCUGACGCUGAGGCGCGACAGCGUGGGGAGCAAACAGG
rnacentral:rRNA from 1 species